GCCCGGGUAGCGCAAUGGUCAGAGCGUCAGACUUUUACGUUCUCUCAGAGGUAAAUUCAUCUGAAUGUUGUGGGUUCGAGUCCCACUUCGGGCG